UACGUAGGGGGCAAGCGUUGUCCGGAAUCACUGGGCGUAAAGCGCGCGCAGGCGGCUGUCUACGUCCGGGGUGAAAGCCCAGAGCUCAACUCUGGGACUGCCUUGGAUACGGGAUGGCUUGAGGAUCGGAGAGGCAAGGGGAAUUCCACGUGUAGCGGUGAAAUGCGUAGAGAUGUGGAGGAACACCUGUGGCGAAGGCGCCUUGCUGGCCGAUUUCUGACGCUCAGGUGCGAAAGCCAGGGGAGCGAACGGG
rnacentral:rRNA from 1 species